ACUAACUGGAAAUGUCCGACUUGUUUCCAGACAGCAGGACAGAACAGCCCGGCUUCUCCUAAAAUAGAAGAUCAGUCUUCACUCCAGGACCAGCAGGACGGAUGUUCAUCAUCACCUUCAUCAUCACGUUAACGUCUGACAGCUGUCGUGCAGUGGGGCCAUUAGGCAGCGGAUGCAGCGGGCGCCCGGCUGCAGGCGGCCCUCUCAAUGGUCUCUCCCACCAUGAAGGCGGUGGUGGACGCUGUGUGGGCGGUGUGGAGCAUCGGGGCCUCCAUCUAUGACUACAUCCACACCAGCGCCAUGGAGGAGCGCAUCCACGCCCUGGAGAAUGUCAUCACCAUCCACCAGUGUGUGAUCGGGCUGCUGUCCGCCGGCGUGUUGGUGCUUUUCACCUACAUCUUCUUCAAGAAGCUGUGAAGAGGUGGGCUUGGGUUGACAUGGGGGAAGUGGAGCAGCCAGAAUCAGUCCAAUGUGAUAAAGAUGAGACAGAUAAAGGGGAAUUUUUACACUUGGGGGUAUUUUAGAAAGGCCUAUUGGAGCCGUUGCCGUGCUGUUCACGGUGUGUACAUAUAGUUUUCAUGGGGGGACUUAACACAUACACAAAGGAUCAAGACAUGAAGUUAUGUUUUUGGGGUUUUAACACCACUGCAGUGCCACCUUUUUUUCCUAAAUCUGUUUUGGAAAAACACCCUGAGGUCUUCUUCAAUCAGCAAUGAGGGGCUGCAAUGUACACCUGUUUUUAAAGGCAAACAUAAGUUUUUAUACUGACGAAGACAGAUUUUAUGUGCCAAAUUGAAAAUUGUGAUUUUAUUUGAAUGGAUUAAAUACCAAUGGCAUUAACUGCUCCCUCAGAUUUAAGGGUUAAAAAGCCUCUGAACCUCUGGAAAAGCUUUUAAGCCAUUGUGAGAUGUUGUGACUCAGCAGCUAAUUGCAGGGUUUUCAGGCUGAACCUGCUGAGUUAAAUAUAUAUUCUGAACACAUUUGAGUAUUUUCUCAGGUUAGCCAUGUCGUACAAAAACGCCCAGUGCAUUAGCAAGGAAACAUCAGCUGGACAGUUUGCUAUUUUUUCUUCUGGGAAACACCUCAACUAACUCAGUAUUUUAGCAAACCAGAACAUCUGUCAGCCCAAACAGAAACCACGUCUCACACUGUAGUAGCAGGAACUCCAUUUGCAGCUGGAUUCAUUUUCUAAAGGGAUCAGUAUUGAAAAUGUCAUUCAUCAGGACAAAUUCUGCCUUAAUUCAUGUUCUAAUGUCUUGUUUUCAUGUUUGCACUAAUUUCUCUGAGAUAUCAGGAGAUGCUAAUUUUGCUGAAACUACUGUCUAUGUAAAUGAUGACUGGAGAGCGUAAAGGUCUUUUAGAGUGGAAUUUCAUCUCUAAUGAUUUUUAAUUUUGUGCACAUGGAUCUCUAAUGAACAUCUCUUCCAGUGAUUGGAAGAGACCACAAAGUAAUGUGAUGACAUCUUUACACUGUCCAUGACUAAGUAUUUUUCAUGUGAUCUUGAAUGUCAGAUUAGACAAAACACGUUAAAUCCCUUCUGUUAGUUUUAUAGGUCUACAUAUGUUAUCUUUGUAACUAGACUUUAAACAUGAUGGAUUUAUAUGCUUUUUCCAUUAACAUUUUGUAAUACCUCAUGACUUACAUUAAUGUAGGUGCCAUUGCUGUAUAAAAUGCAACAAUUUGAAGUGUCCUUACAAACUGUAAAUAUAUUUAGAUGGCCAUUGAAACAUUUCAUAGAGGUGUUAUUACAUGACUCUGCAGCUGCUUCAUAUUUAUGGUUUGUUUCUUACACGCAACAUUUUGCACCAUGAAGGGCGAGAAUGUAAACAAGAUGAUACUGAAUAGAAACACUGGUUCAGUUAAUGUUUCAGUCAAAAUAGGUUCACUGAAGAACCACUCCAAGGUGUGGUUGGUCAAUGAGAGAUGUUAUUGUAUGAGUCCUGUUUUAGAAAAAGGUGCGUUGUGUUUUUAUCUCAUACAUGUGAGAUGUAACUGCGGCCUUUUUCAGACAUGGGAUGUGUAACAUUGCUGUUUUUGUCAUUCACACAUUAGUGACUUUUACAUGAAAGUUCCUCUGAAGCCGAUCGUAUUCUUAGAAGUGAUGAUACGUGUAGAAUAUUUGCCAUAUGCUCGAGAUUGGACAGUCAGCACAUUUUAAUCUUGUGUGUGCUGAUCUAAUAAUGCAACUGCAUGCAACUGUGUGAAAGCGAUACAUCUUUGAUUGCAUCUUUCAUAGAAAAGUGACCACAAACCAACACUUUCAGUUGACAUCAGAUUUGUGCAAAGGAGUGCACGUCUGAAAGGGGCUUUAAAAUCAGUUGGACAAGGACCAGAGAAGACUCAAGAGUGACAAGACUGUUUUAUUAUCAUUAUAAUAGCAUCAAAGUUUAUCUUCUCCAAAUACCAAAUAAGUGGAAUUAAACUGGACCUCCUCACUGUAUCAAAUGUUUUGAACAUCUAUCUGAAUAGCAAACUGUACAGACUUUAGUACAUGAAAAAUGAAAGUCAAUACAAACUGUAAAUUACAGCUGCAAUGGCCAAGAAAAGAGCUCAAUCAAAUCUGAAAACAUUUCUUAGAACACGGCUGGAAGCCUUUAGUAGGAGGCUCCUUCCAAAUGAACAGCAAACUUCAGAUACUGCAGUACUGCGUUUCCAUUUAAACCCAAUGGAACAUUUCAUGAGCAGUCAGUGAACCAGCCUUCUACUGGACCAACAUGUCCUGCUUCUGCAUCUUAAACAUUUAUUGUCUUAAAAGGCCACUCAUAGGUGUCCAGUCUGAAGCAGAGUGUAUUUGGAGGUGAAUCUUUCCACACUCUCCCCCUCCAGAAACUUCAUGGCCCUCCAGUGGAUCUUGCCACAGUUCUCUGGUUGGCCGAGGGGCCCCAGCUCCUCCUGAAUGUACUGCAGCCACAGAUCUGCAGGAAAAUAAAAACAAGAGAAAACAAUGCAGCUAAAAAUAAAGGAAGUUUCGAUUAACAAGUGAUGCAACAAAGGUUAUUCAUCUCCCCAUAUCCUAAUGGAGGCUUGAUCCCUGACAAACUCUCUUACUAUGUAGUAGUAGUAUUUAGGCCCAAAGACCAAGAUGGGCUCCUUUUUCUUUGGGCCUAAAAACCAUACUAGAAGAGUCUGUCAGGGAUCAACCCCCAAUUUAGCGUCUCCAAGAAUGUAUUUUAAUCCUCAUAUCUGGUCAAAUAACUGCUUAUCUGAUGGUGAACUGUUGAGUCUCUUUCAGUGCAGUGGUUUUGUGAAGAUGUAAACCUGGCAUUUUGUCCUCCAUAACUGUCUAACAGGAUGUUGUAAAUAAAUGUUUUUAACACUG